UACGGGGGGAGCAAGCGUUGUUCGGAAUCACUGGGCGUAAAGGGUGCGUAGGCGGGUCUUUUAAGUCAGGGGUGAAAUCCUGGAGCUCAACUCCAGAACUGCCUUUGAUACUGAGGAUCUUGAGUUCGGGAGAGGUGAGUGGAACUGCGAGUGUAGAGGUGAAAUUCGUAGAUAUUCGCAAGAACACCAGUGGCGAAGGCGGCUCACUGGCCCGAUACUGACGCUGAGGCACGAAAGCGUGGGGGAGCAAACAGG
rnacentral:rRNA from 1 species